rnacentral:tmRNA from 1 species
GGGGCUGAUUCUGGAUUCGACGGGAUUUGCGAAACCCAAGGUGCAUGCCGAGGGGCGGUUGGCCUCGUAAAAAGCCGCAAAAAAUAGUCGCAAACGACGAAAACUACGCUUUAGCAGCUUAAUAACCUGCUCUGAGCCCUCUCUCCCUAGCUUCCGCUCUUAAGACGGGGAUCAAAGAGAGGUCAAACCCAAAAGAGAUCGCGUG